rnacentral:lncRNA from 1 species
GAGAAACGUAUGGUCUUUGAAAUCCCACUUAGUAACACUAUACCUCAGAAGGAAAUUGUGUCUUCAGGAAACCCUAAGCUUGUACUGGGCCUGCUUGAACAGAAAGCUCUUAGUCCAUAUGUGUGUGUGGCCUUUGAAGGCUUAUAACACAAUCAUGACCUGUAGUCCUGUACCUCUUGUCACACAUGUGGAUUUUCUUUCCUUUUCUUUUUUGGUUGUUCUAGACAUGGUUUCUCUGUGUGGCCCUGGCUGUCCUGGAACUCACUCUGCAGACCACGCUGGCCUCAACUCACAAGAUCCAUCUGCCUCUGCCUCCCGAAUGCUUGGAUUAAUGGUGUGCACCACCAUCAUCACCACACCCUGCUGGAUUAUUGUGUCCAUUAUGUACAACCAAAUUUCUGUUUCCUUUAAUGUGAAUACCACCCUGUCCCUGGUAAUUGUGAAGAAGGUGGGAACCAUACAGAUCAGAGCUUUAGUUACUGGCUCCCUGUCAACACCCCUCUCAUGGCCACAAUUCUUUCCUUGUUAUCAUGCAGCUACCAUUUCUUGUUAGUGAAAAAAUACUUAAGCUCUGUUCAUUGAUAAAAUGUAUGCCCUUCUGAUCUCAAUAACAUACCCAACAAGUCACCUUGAUUGUAGACUUGGAGAAUGAACUGUUUGAUUUGUAUCAGUAUAAUUAAUUGCUAUUUAAGCAUGACUGCAGAGUUGAGAAUUUUACCCAAUACAUUCAGACAAUAUGUUCCUAGUGCCCAAACUUGGCAUUAAAGAUACAAUGGUAAACAAACACAUAGUGUCCUGCGCUUGUGGGCUUCUUUAAUUAAAAGGAAAGGCAAAUGUGGAGGAGGAAAUGCCAUUUCAGAUGAAACUGGCUAUAGUACGAUUAAGUGUGUGCUUUAGUGAGGCCUAGGAGUAUGCAGAGAGAGGAUGGUCAGGUAGAUGAAGAUGUGUGAGCCCUGAUAGUAUGCAGAGAGGGGAUCGUCAGAUAAAUAGAGAUGUGUGAUCUCUUGGCAGAUGGCUAUAAUCUGAAAUUUCUUAUUCAUGGCUCACAGUGAUCACAGGUUCAUCGAGGACUGGCUCUUUGCCUAACAUAUCCUGGGAUCCAGGCUGAAGGGAAUGGGUGGGUUUCUUUCUGAAACACACAGAGGAUUUGGAAGAGCACAUGGUGGCCAGAAGUGACCCUCAUCACUUUCUGUUGUUCUGUAUUGGUCAAAGUGAGUCUCACACCUGAAACCGGGUGUACUUAAUGGAGCAAGGAGAAGCAACAUAGACUGACUGGACACUGCUGUGUAUUACAACUGGAACAUAAAGUGAAAAAGAGGACCCAGUAUAAAGCAGGGAGUAGGAGAUGGGCGACCAUUGCACUAAGAACCUGGUGUUUGACCUCGGGAACAAUUGCAAUGAUGAGUCUUCACCUAGUCCAUCUUUUCCAAGGAUUUAGACCUCAGUCUCAUCCUAAAGUCUCAUAGAAAAUUCUAGAAUACAGUUUGAACAAAAUUCUGAGCUGAUGGUCAAGCUAAUUUGAUCUAAAGAGUCAAGAGAGGAUGGUCUAAAAACAAGAUUAAGGUCGCUCUAAGCAUUAGUCUUAAUAUAUGGCUUUUCUAUGGAAAAAAAAUCCUGCUGGAGAAGCUGUUCCACAUUAACUAGCAAAUAGAGUCAUCCUUUAGAAAAGAAAAAGAAAGAAAAAGAAACGAAUGGAUAAAAAGAAACAUUAGGUAAAAAUGUAAUAAUCUAUAGUAAAAUCUCAAUUUUUGGUACUGACACACCAAACUGUACCUCAUUUUAUCACUCUUAUCACUACAUCACUUUUUAUCUGUCUUCUGGUAUUUACUUUCUCAGAUGGUAACACUAAUGUCAAGAGAUUAUUCUCCUGCCACAGAUUAACGGUAUCGCACAUUGAGGUCACACCAGUCAUUUGGUAUGCAUAGUCACCUGCUAGCCUCUGGCUAGUAUGCAAUGGGCACCAACUGGAUUCCCACCCACUAAGACCAAUCAAGAUGACCAGUGGAGAGCAGUGUUGAAUUCAUUCACAAAUAGCAGGAACAAAACCUGACCUACUUUAAUUUGUGAAGCGGAGCUCCUGAGCUUCCAUUUUUGGGAGAGAAGAGCUAAGCCUGCCAACAGGCUUUGUUUGAUCUAGACAUCAGGCAUUCAUUUGCUGAUUUGAUGGGACAGAGCCAACACACUGCACAGUCUAUGUCCCUGCCUGGUGCUGGCUUUAGCAGGACCAAAGGGAGGAGCAAAUAGAACCUAUAUUGCAUUCUUACCUUCUUGGUAUUUUAUUAAUUUGACUUCAAGCCCCAUUCAGUUUACAGAGAUUAGUUUUUGUUUUAGACUGCAUUUCCUGGUUCUCAUUGAUAAGUAGGUUGCAAGAAGCAGGGUUACACAGAUAAAAGGAUAAGUGCUAAAUUACUAUUCAGGACAAGCAAGGCAGAGUGCAGAGGGUUAAAUCAGAGGAACCCAACACCAGGCCAUAGUGGUUGGAAGGUACAGCAUUGUCUAGACACGUAAAGAUGGGUUAAAGGGAAUUAACCUGUUCAGUUGCAAACACAGCUCAUACCAUCAGUGGCCCAAACCUAUGGCACCUGUGAGCAGCAAAGCCAGAUGAGAUGAUCUGUAGAACCUAGUGUAUUGUACCACUGGGUUUCCACACAGUUUUCCAUGUCUCAGAACUGCACCCUGAAGACAGGACUGAGCUGCUGUGUGAAAGGAAAUGGAGUCAGAAAAGAAAAAGUCAUAUGCCAUAGCUCUGCUAUGCCUUUGCCAGGGGCCUUAGUGAAAUGCUUUGCCCAUACUCAAAUGGGAAAAAGAAUGCUGAACUGCCAAGACUUCCCCAAGGAAUGGUGACUGGUGUGGCUGCAUAGAAGACACCGCUUCUGCCCAGCCAUCCUCAGUUGUCCAGAUCUUGUGCUUGUGCUAUUUAUGUCUCAUCCCCCAUCUCUAGAGCACUCCUGGGAAGCUGUAGGAACAAAAUUUGUGCUUUACUAAGAAUUCUGCUAUUAUUUUUCUCUCUGGAGAAGCUUGUCCUCCUUUGAUCCGAAAUUGACAAUCAGGCUAUUCUGAGAAGGACUAAUUACAGAACACAUCCGGUGAGUGCCCCUCUUUCGCCCACACACAGUUACUGGAGCUGCAAUGUGACAAGCCAGUCUUGCCAAGUGGCCCAAACCUAUGGCACCUGUGGGCAGUGGUUACCCAUAGCAACAGCAAGGGGGACGAGCUGUGAGGAUAGAAGUCACAGUGUCUGUCUGGUUCUGCUUAUGAUUUGUGUGUGUGUGUGUGUGUGUGUGUGUGUGUGUGUGUGUGUGUGUGUGUAGAGAAGCAUGCAAUUAGAAGUGAUGGAGGGAGUCAGGAGAAGGUGAUGGGGAGAAGAAAGAGCAUGUCUGCUUGCAUUAAUUUUAACAUAUAACUUCUUAAACUGAGAAUGUUCAGCUGAGGAAGCUGUGUCUCCUCAAUUACCAGUAAAUGUAGCCAUCCCUCUGUAUUCAUGCAAGAUGGUCUCCAAGCAUCCUCUGGGUUAUCAAAAGCUGUGUACAUUCUAGCAGUUUAUAGAAGACAGGUAGUAUAUUUGCAUGAAACUUGUGUAUGCUCUCUCUAACACCCAAUGCACUGUAACUGCUCUUUAAAUGUAACACUGUGUUUUUUAGGAGACUGUGACAAGGAAAUGAAUCCUGUGUAUGCUCCAUAUAGAUGCCAUUGUUUUCCUCAACCAUCUUAGUCUGUGGUUGACUGAAUGGACAGCACAAGCUGACAGCAUGUAUUCAGAGCCCACGAUCCCCUUGAUGGUGUUCUUCUUGGACUUGGACACUUAAAGAGACUGGGCAGUGGCCACAUGAAAGUGAAGUCACUAGUGACCAUUUUUCUCAUUCAGAGAGUCAGAGAAGAGAAGUAAGACAGUAGUCAGGAAAUAUAAAGUGUGGCCUCUUAGCAUCUUGGACUGUGACCUUGGGUGGGACCCUUCUGCUACCUUGGCCUAAACUUGCUCCAUCUCUCAAAGGAAGCAGUGGCAUUUGAGUUCUGACUCCAACACUGAAGAGUUUAUGAAUUAGGGAUCCUGAAAUAAGAUAGGCUAUUGUGAAUUGAUGGUACAGCCCCAUAGAUUCUAUGAGGAAAUGUGGUCCCUAGAGAAUUAUCGAGCUAUGCAAAGCUCUGUAAAUAUGAAAAAUGGCACUGAUUUUUCUUAAUGUCAUGAGCUGUAAAGUAAAUCUCAAAAUAAUAAGAAAUAAAAGAAAAAGUAUCCUAG